rnacentral:lncRNA from 1 species
GGGCAGUGGAUGGGACGGCUUAGCUGGAAGAAGAGUGCCACACGCUGGAAAAGGAGAAUAUUGUCUUCUGAAAUGCUUCUGCAAGGGUCUUUAAAGGAAAGUUCUCAAACUGAGAACACACAAAUUUAAUUCUCUCUCUUUUCUGUAUUUUCAUUUAUUUUACUGACAUCAAGUACAGAGAAUUGGAUUUGGGGUUAGUCAUAAUUCUGGUUCCUGCCAUAGUCAUCACUGUUGCAUUUAACAUGAGGUCUGCUUUUAGUGAGUUAGUUCUUGAAUUAAUAAGUUUUUAAUAAUGUAAUAAGCCUGAUGGACCUACCACCUCAAACAAAAAAGCAAAGCCCUUGACAAUAACCUCCAUGCAGCCCUGCGGCCCAUCCCACCCUGUCUCCUUGCCUCCCCACACCCAGAAUAACCAGGCUCCUGCAGUUCUGGACCGGAUUGGAGGCACUGCUGUCACAGGCAUCUGUGCAGAAGGUCCACCUCUGCCCACGUGGCAUCAGCUCAACCGGGGACUACAGCAUCACUUCCAAGAUGAUUCACUCACAUGACUGCCAAUUCAGUGCUGUGUAGACUGGGAGUUCAGCCUUGCAUGCUGAUGUCUGGAGCAAGAGUCCCAAGACGAAGAUGCCAAAAAAUCGCAUUUUCUGAUUUAGCAUUCGAGGAUACAAAGUGUCACUACCACUGACAAGCAGCUUCAAGCGGAGGGAACAAAGAUCCCAUUCCUCGACGGGAGCAGCGUCAAAGCUGAGUUGCAAGAAGAGCGUAUGGACUAGAAUGUAUUGUUGCAGUCACCACUAUCACAAGAGCGAAUAAGGGAGAGACUUUCUGAAGGGCUGGUUUCAUGUGAAAAUCCUUUUGACAAUAAUAUUUGGCACAUUAUUCUUCUAAAAAAAGUGCAGGCCUAAAUAUACCAAGAAAAUAAAACAAAUUACAGUCUCUGAAUUCAUGGGAUUUGCAAAAAUCAGAAGAAAUCAACUUGAGCAGAAGCUGAAAGGAGCACUAGCACUUGCUAAUGUGACCUUGCCGAGUUUCUGAACGUCUAUAAACCCUAAGUGCCUCAUCUCUAGAUUGAAAUUAAUUCCAUUGUGACAGUUGGGAGAAUAGAAUAAAAUAUUUUAUGUAAAGCACAAAACCAGCAAAUGCAUUUGAAUAACAUUAUUUACCUUCUUCCUUGAGCAUUGCGUUUCAUUGGCUAUUACCACCAACACUUGAGAUCCACAAUGUGAUAAAUUAAUUAAUAAAUAUGAAAGGUGAUCAUUUUUAGAAUUACAUUUCAUUGAGAAAAUUCUACAUACUGGGCUGUGGACUGAUGUAUGGUAAAUUAUCUUCAUUACCUAUUAAGCAAAUAUUUCAUCUUAAAAAAACUCAUUGAACAAGUCAAAUGCUGUGUGGGUACACUUUAGUCAUGGCUUAAAUAUUCAGAGACAAGAUGUUGCCUACCCAAGAAAAACACAAUUAAGAAAGCCUUGGGGAAAAGUAAAAUUAAAAACAAAAAUAGAAAACAGCCCGCUUUGCUUCCAGCAAAAGCAGGAAAUGGGUUGUGUAAAGGAAAUCACCAAAAUGUGACAUGGAAGACACUUAAAGUACCUCUGUCAAAUUAGAACCCACUAAAUUAUUGUGAUGUGUAUCAUAAUAUAUUCAUUGAACCUUACAAGAAGUAAAAAUAGUCAAAAUAUUUGUGUAUUUUUUACUAUUUAAUCACAAUUAAAGAAAUAUAAAUAAUGUUAAACAGAAAAAGAUUAAGGAAAGAGCAAGAAGAAUGAUUAAAGUUUUGAAAAAUGGUAGCUAAGAAGGAAAGUUUGACAUAAAAUUUAUGCAAUUUGGUUAAAAGGAAAAGACAGC